UACGGAGGGUGCAAGCGUUGUUCGGAAUUACUGGGCGUAAAGCGCGUGUAGGCGGAUUGAGUAGUCGGGUGUGAAAUCCCUCGGCUUAACUGAGGAAGUGCGCCCGAAACCAUCAAUCUGGAGGUCCGGAGGGGACCGGGGAAUUCCCAGUGUAGAGGUGAAAUUCGUAGAUAUUGGGAGGAACACCGGUGACGAAGGUGCCGGUCUGGACGGAUUCUGACGCUGAUACGCGAAAGCGUGGGGAG
rnacentral:rRNA from 1 species